rnacentral:misc_RNA from 1 species
AACUUUUGACAACGGAUCACUUGGUUCUGGCAUCGAUGAAGAAUGCAGCGAAAUGUGAUAAGUAAUGUGAAUUGCAGAAUUCAGUGAAUCAUCGAAUCUUUGAACGCACAUUGCGCCCUCUGGUAUUCCGGAGGGCAUGCCUGUUCGAGCAUCAUUACAACCCUCAAGCUCUGCUUGGUAUUGGGCUCUGCCAGUCCUGGCAGGCCUCAAAGUCAGUGGCGGUGCCAUCCGGCUCCAAGCGUAGUAACUCUUCUCGCUUCGGAGGCCGCGGUGCGUGCUAGCCAGCAACCCCCAAUUUUUCCAGGUUGACCUCGGAUCAGGUAGGGAUACCCGCUGAACUUAAGCAUAUCAAUAAGCGGAGGCU